GUUUAAAUAAUUUAAAAUAAAAAUGUUGAUUUGUGGAGUCAAAAAUGUUUUUUACAAACUUUAAAUA
rnacentral:tRNA from 1 species